rnacentral:rRNA from 1 species
CCUACGGGUGGCAGCAGUGGGGGAUAUUGCACAAUGGGCGAAAGCCUGCUGCAGCGAAGCCUCGUGCGGGAAGACGGUCGUCGGAUUUUAAACCUCUGUCUUUGGGGAAGUAAAUGACGGUACCCACAGAUGAAGCUCCGUCUAAAUACGUGCCAGCAGCCGCGGUAAUACGUAGGGAGCAAGCGUUGUCCGGAAUUACGGGGUGUAAAGUGAGCGUAGGCGGGAAGGCAAGUAGAAUGUUAAAUCCAUCGGCUCAACCGGUGGCUGCGUUCUACACUGCCGGUCUUGAGUGAAGUAGAGGCAGGCGGAAUGCCUAGUGUAGCGGUGAAAUGCGUAGAUAUGAGGAGGAACACCAGUGGCGAAGGCGGCCUGCUGGGCUUUAACUGACGCUGAGGCUCGAAAGCGUGGGGAGCAAACAGGAUUAGAUACCCUAGUAGUC